CCUUGUCAUUCUUCUUGCCCGGU
rnacentral:miRNA from 12 species